GCGUUGGAUAAAAACCGCAAUUUUUAUACGUGUGCAUGUAAAACAAAUUUCGUUGUAGAAGGGUCUAAAACAGCACAAACAACAUUUUCCAAAAGACCAAAAAAGUGAAAAAGUACAUUUAAACAAAACGCAUUUGACUAACAGGUCGAACAACUGAUGUUCUUUAGCCCUGCUGACUGCCAUUGGCGAUUGCCCCAAUAAAAUUGAUCACAAGAUGUAACAAAAUGGAUCUUAAUAUAAAUUUAAUACUAAACAGAA
rnacentral:lncRNA from 1 species